AUGAUGGACUAUAGGACAGGACUGCUGCUUUUUACUGUCUGCUGGGCAGGUGUUGAUGGUCAGACUCUGACAGAAUCUGAAGCAGUGGUUAAAAGGCCUGGAGAAUCCCACAGACUGACCUGUUCAGCCUCUGGAUUCACAUUCAGCAGCUACUGGAUGGCUUGGGUCAGACAGGCUCCUGGAAAAGGACUGGAGUGGAUUGCUUAUAUAAGCACAUCUAGUUCUUAUAUCUAUUACUCCUCGUCAGUCCGGGGCAGAUUCACCAUCUCCAGAGAUGACUCCAGCAGUAAACUCUAUCUUCAGAUGAACAGUCUGAAGACUGAGGACACUGCAGUGUAUUACUGUUGGGUCAGACAGGCUGCAGGAAAAGGACUGGAGUGGAUCGCCUGGGUUGAGCGUGAUAAUGACAGAAAAUUCUACUCUCAGUCAGUUACAGGCCGGUUCACCAUCUCCAGAGACAACAGCAGACAGCAGGUGUAUCUGCAGAUGAACAGUCUGAAGACUGAAGAUUCUGCUGUUCAUUAUUGUUGGACCUAUGGAGCUUGUUAG